UUUUCCCUGGCCGUGCAUUGAUCUCUCUCUUUUUCUCCCUCUUUUUUUUUUUCUUCCCUCCUCCUCCCCCCUCCCUCCCUCAUUUUUUUCCCCAGUGGACUUUGAUCCCAGGAGAAGAGCUCGUGCGGGAUAACUGAGCCAGGACCGAGCUUUGUGGGAUUUAUCGGAGCCCAAUUCCUUCAGCAGCAGCAGGAGCAGGAAAAAGACCGGCUCCGGGGAAGAGCUCAGCCCCGGUAGGACCGGCUGAGAGAAGCGCUCUGCCCCUCCGUCCCCCCGAGUCCCCUCGGUCCAGGACCGGAGGGGAUGGACAGAGCCCCCCGGUUCCUGCCGCGACCCCCUUUCCCCCCCCGGACUUUUGAUUGACCCCUCCUCCCGCCCUCUGCCCGGAUGGACGGAGAGUAAGUAAUUCCCCCCUCACCGUCCAUCCAGGGUGAACCACUGCUCGCUCCCCGCCUCUGGUGGCGACCAACAUCCCGGGUGGACCACUGCCCGCUCCCAGAGUUGGGAUUGGGCCCCUGCGACUUAGAAAAAGGCCUGGGUCAGGGGGUCGCGGGGUGGGCAGGGGAAAGGAGGGAGAGAAGACGAAGCUGGACGCUUUGGAGACACCAUGGGCGCAGAGGGCGGGAGCCAGGUCUGCCGGGCUCCGAAAUAAUCCCACCCGGGCACGAUGUCCACCAGCGGAUUGCCGAUGUUUGGGAAAUAGCUCUGCCAGGCGAGGCUGGCCCGGGAAUACCUGCUUUGAGAAACCAAGAAGUCUCUCCAUCCCAUCAUAUUGGCAAAUUGGAAAGAGAUCUCCUCGCCCUGCUAUGGAAAAUGAACUGCUGUAGAUAAAGAUUAUUGCAUCGGGAGGUGAACAGGCUAUAAUACACUUCAGUUUUAAGGAUCCAAACCAAGAGACUUGCUCUGAACAUGAGACCCAGGCUGCACUGUGCGGUGAAGAGUUGCAAGGUUCGAGAGGCAUUUGUAGGUG
rnacentral:lncRNA from 1 species